rnacentral:rRNA from 1 species
CGAUACACCCGUAAAACGGUGGGUAGACGGUUUACACCCACCCGUGUCUAUAUACUCUUGUUGCUUUGGCGGGCCGUGGCCUCCACUGCGGGCUCUGCUCGUGUGUGCCCGCCAGAGAACCAAACUCUGAAUGUUAGUGAUGUCUGAGUACUAUAUAAUAGUUAAAACUUUCAACAACGGAUCUCUUGGUUCUGGCAUCGAUGAAGAACGCAGCGAAAUGCGAUAAGUAAUGUGAAUUGCAGAAUUCAGUGAAUCAUCGAAUCUUUGAACGCACAUUGCGCCCUGUGGUAUUCCGCAGGGCAUGCCUGUUCGAGCGUCAUUUAACCACUCAAGCCUAGCUUGGUAUUGGGGCACGUGGUUCCGCGGCCCUCAAAAUCAGUGGCGGCGCCGGUGGGCUCUAAGCGUAGUACAUACUCCCGCUAUAGAGUUCCCCCGGUCGCUCGCUAGAACCCCCUCAUUUUUACAGGUUGACCUCGGAUCAGGUAGG